rnacentral:rRNA from 1 species
UGAGGAAUAUUGGACAAUGGGCGCAAGCCUGAUCCAGCCAUGCCGCGUGAGUGAUGAAGGCCUUAGGGUUGUAAAACUCUUUUAGUGGGGAAAAUAAUGAUGGUACCCACAGAAAAAGCUCCGGCUAACUUCGUGCCAGCAGCCGCGGUAAUACGAAGGGAGCUAGCGUUACUCGGAAUCACUGGGCGUAAAGCGCAUGUAGGCGGAACUACAAGUCAGGGGUGAAAUCCCAAGGCUCAACCUUGGAAUUGCCUUUGAAACUGUAGUACUUGAGUAUGGUAGAGGAUAGUGGAAUUUCCAGUGUAGAGGUGAAAUUCGUAGAUAUUGGAAAGAACACCGGUGGCGAAGGCGGCUAUCUGGACCAUUACUGACGCUGAGAUGCGAAAGCGUGGGGAGCAAACAGG